rnacentral:lncRNA from 1 species
GAUGGGCGGGGGGCGGGGGGGGGAAUGUAAAAAUAAAGAAGUCAUUUGAGCAAUGAGAGAAGACAAAGAGGUUAGUGUGAUGGGAAAGCUGAGAGGAAUAAAGCCAGGAAGCAGAGUAGGAGGGAAAGAGGGCCGCCAAGAGAGGAAGAGGACCCUUGCCAGGAGGAGGCAGAAGAACAAAGGGGGUGAAGGAUGGUGCAUCUAAGCAAGAGUGAGGGAGGCCAUCAGGAGAGAGAAGAGCGGCUGGUUCCCUGAUAGUCAACAAUCCUUUCAAGGGUGAAAAAGAAAGACAGGCUUCUGAGAGUGGACCCUUCCAGAAGGAGACACGGCUGCCUCCUAACUGGGAUUCCUUCUGCUGGUGUCUUCCCCUCACUCACCUUUCUGUACGCCUAGAGGAAGCCUUAUUAAAUGCUAAUGUCAUCACGUGACUUCUAAGAGCUAGAAAGCCCUGACUAAACCGGCGUGGCCAAAAGACACCCAUCAUCUCACCCAACAAGAAACCUGAGGAAGGGGCUCCCCAUAGACGAAUUCAGUGGUUCCAGGUCUGGGAGCCCCAGUGCUUCCCUUCUGCUGUGCCAUUCCCAGGCUGGAUCCCUUCAGGCAGCCAGGAAGAAACGCGUGUGUGGUGUGUGUGGUUACCUAAGCUUCUGAAAAAGGACCCGAAGAAAAUGUGGAGAAAGACCCAAAGUCUCGGUGAGAACAGAAUUGGCACAAUUCCCCAGGGUUGGUGCAGGUGAGAGUCUGACGCGCUGAGAGCCCAGGUUUGCGGAGUUUGGUGGGGGUGGAGGGCGCCUGCUCCAGCAGCCCCGGAAGGGGAGGGCCCAUAGCUCCGCCAGGCUGGGAGCGGCGGUGUGGCAGCAGCCAGCGGAUGUGGGCGUGAGGGCUGGUGGGUGCACAGAGGACCCCGGACGACCCACAGCACAGAAACAUGGAAGCCCAGGCCUCCUCGCGUUCCUUCACAGCACGAUUCAUGGGAACGUAUUGUUCACGGAACCCUCGGGACAGGAAGUGGUCUGCGGCAUGAAGCAAUCACAUAGCAAACCUCCUGUACCUGACCACUCACCUGGUGAUUCUCCUGCUGCUGGGCAGCUAGAGGCUGGGCAGUGGGGGGCAUGCCUGGACCUGAGGCAGCUCUGCAGGUGAAAGCAGACAGCUUCCCAGCUGAGGGUGGCGGAUACACCCCUGGAUCCCCUUGUGUAUGAUGCCCCAGCCUGGGAGAGGUGAAGCAUCAGCAUCCAAUCAUUAGGUAAGUCCGCUGGCUUUAAAGGACACUGGGGCUGAGGGAUGUUAAACUCAGAUUUGCCAGGAGGUAGCAAUGGUUCAGUUGGUAGUAUGUUGAAAGUGAGACACAAAAAUGAUCAUGCGGACUGGUGCCCUGAUGGCCAAGGGCGGCUCAGUGCCUAGUAUCUCUCUGUCUCUGAAAGUGGCACACUGUGGUGCCCAGGUGGCUCAGUCAAUUGAGCAUCCGACUUUGGCUCAGGUCAUUUUCUCAUGGUUUGUGGUUCAAGCCCCACAUUGGUCUCUGUGCUGACAGCUCAGAGCCUGGAGCUUGCUUCGAAUUCUGUGUCUCCCUCUCUCUCUGCUC